UAUUGAGAAUAAAUCAAAUCAAAUGGUUUGUUUAGAUUAUGAUCUUUUUUUGUAAAUGGCCCCUUGGAAAAAUUUUAUUUUAAAACUAGACCCAACAAAUUUAUAAUUGCAAAAAUGGUUUUACCCCUGCCACACAGGCGCCACGCAAGCGUCACGUGGGCGAGCUGAGAGCCUACUUGGCAAGUUGAACACAGUGAAUUAUUCACCGUGUUCAAACAUGGUGAAUGAUUCACUGUGUUUCAUAUUUAUAUUCAUUUUCUUCCCCUUUUUGAUAUUUUUAUUUUUCGCAAAACAUAUAUUUUUUCUAGACAUGGUGAAUGAUUCACCCUAUUCCAUAUUUAUAUUCUCCCCAUUAGGGAUGUCAACGGGUCGGGUUUUCAAAAACUCGAACCCGAACUCGAAAAUCAAAUUAAAAACCAAAUCCGGAUCCGAACCUGGCGGGUUUUAAAAAUUCAUACCGUUGGAUGAAAAUUUAAGGGAUUAAAAUUAUUAAACAUUUUAUAUAUUGUAUAAAUAAAUAAAAAUAAAUUAUGUAUAUAUAUAAUUUAUUCGGGUUUUGGUUCUAAUAAUAUUUCGAGUAUCCAUACCUAUUGACAUCCUUACUCCCUAUUUCUUUUUUCAAUAUUUAUAUUGCAAAAAUUAUAUAUAUUUGUAUUUUCUCUAGACACGGUAAACUAUUUACCUUGUUUGGACACGGUGAAUGGUUCACCGUAUUCAACUUAACACCAUGGCACCAGCCCUGCUCGCGUGGCACUGACG
rnacentral:lncRNA from 1 species